rnacentral:rRNA from 1 species
UACGUAGGGUGCGAGCGUUAAUCGGAAUUACUGGGCGUAAAGCGUGCGCAGGUGGUUAUGUAAGCCAGAUGUGAAAUCCCCGGGCUUAACCUGGGAAUGGCAUUUGGGACUGCAUGGCUAGAGUGUGGCAGAGGGGGGUGGAAUUCCGCGUGUAGCAGUGAAAUGCGUAGAGAUGCGGAGGAACACCGAUGGCGAAGGCAGCCCCCUGGGUUAACACUGACACUCAUGCACGAAAGCGUGGGGAGCAAACAGG